UUGGCGACGCUCUUCUUCACGCAGCGGAACCAAUCUAGGUUCAUGCUUCUCUUGAUAUCUGAAACUCGAUAUCUGAAAGCUCAAGCGACAAUGGUGUCUUCAGAAAGUUUUUCUGCGACCGAUCAUCAUGGCAACUCUCUUGCUCGAGCUCAGUUCAUUCAGUUUCGUCUGGGAUUCCUUCUGAACGUUACAAACUGCAUUGAAUCAUCAUCAUCAUCAUUAACGACUGCCUUAAUUCUUCCAGCUACUCCUACCACGAUUUCCUCAUUCAUUGCAUCUUCCCCCUCUACAAGGCUGUUGAUCUCUAACUAUAAAAAGUUCUUAUCAGGUUUUCAAUCUAUGAAAGCUUAGAUCAUCUAUUGGAUUCUUGCUGUUCUCCUUCAGUCAAUUGGACCCUCCAACUCCUAUGCCAAAAGAUACAGUUUUGGAUGUUCUUAGUCUUAGUUGAUGUAAAAAACCAUCCGAUUAUCAUACUUGCAAAGCCUGAAAGCCUAGGACAAGUUGUUUGGUGGGGUGUUUAAGAUAAGCCAGAGCUGGUGUUUAUCUUCGGUGUGUAUAACAACUUGCUUAGCUUCAGGUUCUUUUCUCGAAAGCAAACUCCUUUGUUCAUCAUCAUUAAAGCCUAUAUUAACAUUUGAAACUUUCUUCUUAAUGUGGGAUUGUUAUGAACAUGGUUGUUGGAGGUGAGUAACCGGUCUCAAAAGCCUUGAGGAAAGCAGCAGCAUUAUCAUCACAGAGAUGCCAAUCGAUGUAUAGUAGAUUUAAUCCAUGAUAAAGUAAUAAACUUUGUUCUGUUUUUUUUAGCUUUGAUGAUUGGCUUGGAAUGUGCUUUCAUUUUGCAAAUUUCUGAGAUCUUAUAACAACCCAGGGUUCCUACGAUCUGAAGGACACCAUCAAAGUUAGUUUGAUGACUCUUAAGCUUUUUCCUGCUCUUGAGCUUCAAAUUAUAUGUCACAUGACCUUCUCUGUAGAAAUCAAUAGUUUGUGUUAAGGUACAGAGAAGAUGUCUCUCUGCUGCACUUAGCCAUUAUUUAAGUUGAUCACUUUGAACUUGAUCCAAAUUCUAAUCAGCUCUAAAGGAUGCGAUGUAAGCGUUGACAAAUGAAUACUACUGUCUUUCAACGUCUCCUUACUUUGUGAGCUGAUUCAGAAUAAAGAUGGAUCUCUAUAUUGGUGAUCUCUAUCUAUUCUUCACUGAUCAUAAAUAUUAAUUUACUUCUACAGGUCGGAUUGGUGAAUGAGGAUCAAUAUGCCUUUGAUGUAAGGAUAAAUAUUGUGAAAUUCUCUCUGUAGAAUCUUUGUUAUGGUGAUUCUGCUGAUGAUGAAAACAUCCACAUUCACGCAUGUAUACAUAUAUAUGUGAAGGCAAGUACUGUGUGUAAUGUAUCUGUUUGUGUGUGUUGAUAUGUAUACAUAUAACAUGGCAAAAGAUUAUUUUCUUUUUAUCGAGGAGACCUUUUAAAGUUAA